rnacentral:rRNA from 1 species
GAUGAACGCUGGCGGCGUGCCUAAUACAUGCAAGUCGAGCGAAUGGAUUAAGAGCUUGCUCUUAUGAAGUUAGCGGCGGACGGGUGAGUAACACGUGGGUAACCUGCCCAUAAGACUGGGAUAACUCCGGGAAACCGGGGCUAAUACCGGAUAACAUUUUGAACCGCAUGGUUCGAAAUUGAAAGGCGGCUUCGGCUGUCACUUAUGGAUGGACCCGCGUCGCAUUAGCUAGUUGGUGAGGUAACGGCUCACCAAGGCAACGAUGCGUAGCCGACGUGGGGUGGUGAUCGGCAACACUGGGACUGAGAAACGGCCCAGACUCCUACGGGAGGCAGCAGUAGGGAAUCUUCCGCAAUGGACGAAAGUCUGACGGAGCAACGCCGCGUGAGUGAUGAAGGCUUUCGGGUCGUAAAACUUUGUUGUUAGGGAAGAACAAGUGCUAGUUGAAUAAGCUGGCACCUUGACGGUACCUAACCAGAAAGCCACGGCUAACUACGUGCCAGCCGCCGCCGUAA